AGAACUUUUAUCGACUGCAACGAAGGGCACUUCAUCUUAUGCAGAUUGUGGCCUACUUAAUAAUGCAAAGUUAUGUAAAUAGAUUUGAUCAGCUCACAAAUGCAACAAACGGACUCUCAUCAAUGGAAAAAGAUAGCUGGAAAGCAGAGGGCAGGGACUAUCCUUAUUCAACCCAUGAUAACAAGGCUAUGUUACAAAGCAGCAUCGAAUCAUAUGAUAAUGGGUUGGGCC